rnacentral:lncRNA from 1 species
GAUUAAACAACUAAUAAACUCUUGAACAAAUAUUAGGUUAUCAAAUAACUAUAAAAAAAUUAUAACAUUUGAUGACAAAAGCUUUUGAUCUUUAUUUUAGUGAUGAUUUAGUAUCAACAUAUAAUCUAUUUAUUUAUAUUUUUAAUUCUCAUAAAGGAGUAAAGGAAAAAAAUUGUUAACCAAUAUAUUUUUAAUUAUUUUAUUAAUCACUAAAGAUUUGGUUGAUGUAUUAAAAUGUGGCGUGACUUUAUUGAGUGAAACUACUCCUUCAACGAUAAAAUUUGAAUACUAAAAAGGUCUAUAUUGUUAUAAAAUAAAGAAAGAUGGAGAGAAUAAAGAAUAAAGAAAAUAUGAAAGUAAUAGAGAAUGUACUUUAUUAAUUAAAUGGAUGAUUACAAUGCUUCAUUAGAGUCUCAAUUUAUAGGCAUAAGAAGUAUAAAAGAAGUAGAAAUCUAAUUCUAAUAACUAUUAGAAUUUCAAGUACAUCAAAACUUUAUCCUGAUCAUAAUGGACAUCCACUUAAUAAGAUAUUCAUAACACUCCCCCUUGGAUGUCCAUUGGUAGAUAAUGUGCCUCGUUAAAACCUUAUUAGGAAAAAUCUUGUGGGAUAAAAAUCUAAUGCAGGAAAAAGAGUACACAAUCUUUUAUUACAAGUUGCCUUAUUAAAAACCUUUACCAAAAAACUCAAUGGGACAAAACCUUGGUUAAAGGAAAAGAGUACAACUUGUUUUAGACUCCCCCUAAUGGCAACAUUACAUUACAUCUUUAAGUUGACGUAAUCCAAUUUUGUGUUGGAGUCUUUCAAAUGUUGAAGUUGGCAAUGCCGUAGUAAAAAGAUAUGCUAAAUCAUCACUAGAACGAAUUUGUUGAACAUUUAUAUCACCUCUUUUCUCAAGAUCAUGGGUGAAGAAUAAUUUUGGUGAAAUAUGUUUCGUUCUAUCACAUUUGAUGUAACUACCCUUCAAUUGAGCUAUACAUGUUGCAUUAUAUUCAUAUAAGAUAGUUGGCAUCUUUUCCUAUAAAGGCAAAUUACAUAUCUUCUGGAUAUGUUGGGUUAGUAGUCUUAGCCAAACACACUCUCGACUUGUCUCAUGUAUUGCAAUUAUUUCUGCAUGAUUUGAAGAAGUAGCAGUUAAUGUUUACUUUGUCGAACGCCAUGAUAUUUUAGUACCCUCUCAUGUAAAUAAAUAUCCUGUUUGAGAUGGACCUUUAUGUGGAUCUGAUAGAUAUCCAACAUCAGCAUAGCCAACAAAUAGAGAUUUUGAAUCAUUUGAAUAAAAUAACCUCAUAUCAGUAGUCCCUCUAAAAUAUCUAAAUAUUUGUUUAAUUCCAUUCCAAUGUUUACAUGUUGGAGAAGAAUUAAAUCUUGCUAACAAGUUUACAGCGAAAGCUAUAUCAGGUCUUGUGUUGUUUGCAAGAUACAUCAAUGCUUCUAUGGCACUUAGACAUGGUACUUUAGGACCAAGAAACUCUUCAUCAUUCUCGCAAGGACAAAAUUAAUCUUUAUUCACAUCUAAUGACUAUACAACCAUCAGAGUACUUAAUUGGUUGCUUUAUCCAUGUAAAAUUUCAAUAAUAUCUUUUCCAAAUAAGUUGAUUAAUGAAUAUGAAUUUUAUCUUUUAAAUGCUCGAUUUGUAAGCCAAUAUAAAACUUUUUUUCCAAGAUCUUUCAUUUCAAAUUUUUUCUUUAAACAAUUUAUUGUAUUUUGAAGCUUUUCAGGAGUUCCAAUAAUAUUUAGAUCAUCAACAUAAACAACAAUUAUCACAAAUUUUGAUCCAAACCUUUUUAUAAAGACUCAUGGAUAAAUUGGAUCAUUUUUAUAACCUUAUUUUAACAAAUAUUCACUAAGACAAUUGUACCACAUACGUCCAGAUUGUUUUAAUCUAUAUAAACUUUUAUUUAAUCUGAUCGAGCAAUUUUCUCAAGAAACUCUAUAUCCUUCUGGGAGUUUAAAUCCUUAAGGGAUUUUCAUAUAAAUUUCACUAUCAAGUGUACCAUAUAAAUAGGACGUAACAACAUCCAUUAGAUACAUGUAAAGUUUUUCACAUACUGCCAAACUAAUAAUAUAUCUAAACGUGAUUACAUCCACCAUAGAAGAAUAUGUCUCUUCAUAAUUAAUGCUGGGCUUUUGCAAAAAUCCUUGUGCUACAAGUCGAGCUUUAUAUCUUACGGCUUUACUCCUUUAGGUGUUUGGACUAUAGGUCCAAAAACUUCACGUUCAGAAAGUGAAUUCAAUUUUGCUUGAAUUGCAUUUUUCAAUUUUGGCCAAUCAUUUCUAUUUUUUACAUUCCUUGUUAGAUUUAGGCCCAUGAUCCUCAUUUUCUUUUGUUAUUUCAAUAGCAACAUUAUAAGCAAAAUUUUUGUCGACAACUAUAUUUUUUUGUUCCAUCUUUUUCUCAUAUUGACAUAACGUAUUGAGAUCUCUUUAUUUUCAUCAUUUCCAUUUUCACUUUUAGGUACCUAAAUCUUUUCUUGAGUCUUAUAAUUAGUUAUGUCAUGGGUCUCUUCAGGAACCCCCGCCUCCACAAUAUGACCAUCUUGAAUGUUUGCUCCUUUUUUUUUUACGAUGAUUUUUAUCUUUGGAACCGAACGGUCUUCGACGCUUUAUGCAUGAAUUACUUUCUUUUGUAUUAAUAGUUUUCCAUAUUAGGACAUCAAUUUGUAUUGGAGCAUUUUUAGCUUGUAUGUGAGACUUAAUGAAUCUGGCAGUUGAUUUACAAAAUGAAUUAUCUAUUAAACUUCUAAUUCACGUUGCUUUGUUUGAAGAUCUUUGACAUUUAGUUAUAUAUUCCAACUGCUCCACCAUAACGUACGAAGAUGAGUCAUCAUAAGAGAUUGAGAAUGUAUAUUCAUAUAAGUCUCCUUAUAAUAUUUUUGAACUAUUAAUUUGAUGUUUAGUUAUGACAUGAGUUGUCAAUUUUCUCAACAUUAGAGGGAGAGAAUAAAAAGCUGGAUUAAUAAAGUGCUUGAAAUGAAUUAUCAAUGUCUAAGCCAAUAAAAAGCUUAUUAUGACUCAUCUUAGACACAUCUACCAAAAUCAUAUAAUAUCAAAACCAUCCGCAUGGUGGAUGAAUAGGCUCAUAUUUCAGAAAUGCAAGACAUUAAAUCUCAACUUUAACUAGUGAGUUUCUAAGAAUCAAUUUUCAUUUAGAACAAGCAACAAAUGAGAAUUCUUUAAAUUAAAGAAUCUUCUGGUUCUUUAAUAAUGUUCAUAUGAAUUAUCAAUUAAUUUUCGCAUCAUAUAUGAUCUAAGAUGGUCUAAUUGGUCACGCCAAGUAGUAAAUGCAUGUGUAUUAGUAAACGUGGUUUACUUUAACAUGUGUUUCUAUUGUACUACAUUGUAACAAAUUGAUAAUUUUAUUAUCAUUUCUUUUAAUUUGUAUCCACAUGUAAGUACUAUUGUGACAUUUACUACUGAAAAUGUCCAAAACAAUUUGAAUUCUAUAAUGUCAUUAAGUCAAUAAAUAUAAUUUCUAAAUAAUUAUAUGCAAUAUUCGCUUCAGGGAAUAGCAAAUUUUGUGCUUUUUAGAUAUUAAUAUAUUAGCUAUUCUGGAGCUUUCAACUAAUUUUGUACUAUCAAAUAUUGGAAUAAUAUUUGUUUGUUUCAGUACCAAAUAAGAUAAAUAUUUUCUAUUUAUAAUGAUAGAAUUCAUUACUACAUUCUCAUAUCAUUCCUUAAAGAAUAUUAAUAAAAACAAAAUAUUUGGGCAUACGCCACAUAUGUAGCCAAUAAUAUUUCAUAUCACAUUGAUAACAUAAGCUAUCUUUACCCUUUGAAGAGUUAUCUUGAGAACUCUUAUUGUUCUCUUAUUUAUUACUAUGUUCCCACUUUUAGUAGUCCAUGAGUAUAUCUUUUAUUUUCUUUAUGUUUACAUUCACUUCGGAGAAUGCAACAAAUCUAAUAUGACAGACUUCUAAAGCCCUCUAUAGAUUUUUUAUUUCAUAAUCACUAUCAUAAACAUACGUGAAUUUUAAAUCAAAAUCUAUCCAUUCAUGUUGUCAUGAUUAUUCUCCAAUUAUAAUAAAUAUGACAUAAUAAAUAAAACAUAGUAAAAUAUACCUGAAGAUCUGUAACAUCAUCGUCAUCACCUUGACUAUUAUCAUGAGCAUCCAUUCUGAGAUUGAAUCUUUCAACAUCCUGAAGAUUGAUUUGUGGGACGACUUCAAAAUAUUUUGAAAAAAAUAAAGAGUCAUCAUACUAAUAACGUGUUAUAAAAUAAAGAAAGAUAGAGAGAAUAAAGAACAAAGAAAAUAUGAAAGCAAGAGAGAAUGUACUUUAUUAAUUAAAUGGAUGAUUACAAUGUUUCAUCAAAGUCUCUAUUUAUAGGCAUAAGAAGUAUAAAAGAAGUAGAGAUCUAAUUCUAAUAACUAUAACUAUUAAAAUUUAAAGUACAUCAAAACUUUAUCUUGAUUAUGAUGAACAUCUACUUAAUAACAUUUUCAUAACAUAUAUUAAAUUAUUUUUCUAUUCAAAUAUUAAUUUUUAUCAUUCAAUUGCUAUUAGCCUCAUUUACGUUAGAUAUUAUUUUCCAAGCGUAAAGGCUUUAAAAUGUCAGAUCGUCUAAAUAUAAAUAUUAAGUUUUAAAAAUUGAUUUUUAUAAAAAAUAAUUCUGUUUUAAGAAAAUGGACUUUAUUUUUAUAAUUUAUAAAUAUAUAAUAUUGCACGUUUUAUGAUAUUUUGUUGGGUACAACUUAUGUGUGGCGAUAAGGAAAAAUAAUAAAAUACUCUAUUUGGAAAGAAAGAAAAAGAGAAAUUAAUGUGACCCAUGGCCUUGUUAACUUAGAAAAGUCUACUUUGUGGGUUUCAAAAGGAAAAGUCUCCUUUGAAAUUUGAACCCAACAAAAUAUGAUUGUUGUUUGCUUGCUAUUAAUAUCUCUUCAACCUUUUCAACCCAUGCCUGCUUCUUUCCUAUUCCUUUCCUUUUGUCAUUAUAGUUAGGAGGCACGUGAAGUUGACUGUCGGUCUCUCUUCUUUUCUUUUCGAGAUGAAGCCUUACUGCCAGCUAAAAUAAAGCUUUAAUUGUUUGGAGAAGGUAAGAAAUUUUAAUUUUUAAAAUUUUAUAAAAAUAAAUGAAACUAAAAUUGGAAUUAUACAAAUUAACUAAUGAGUCCAAGGUCGAUGCCUAUCCUCUCUCCCCUAUUUUCGGGCACCUAAAGGGAUUCCUUAAAACAUAAUUUUUUUUAAUAAAUAAGUAAAAUUUAUUAUUAUAAUUCAAUUCAAUUAAAUUCAAUUUUUAUUACAUUCUACUCACACACCAAGAAUGUUCUUUUUAUUUUUUAUUCUUAAAAAUCAUAUAGUAAUUGAAAUUUAGAAAAAUUAAUUAAUAACAAAUUGUAAUUGAGUUGAUAAGAUAUAAGUUAUGUGCUUGGAAGGAGUGGUUAACAAGGACAUAUUUAGGAUUUUACUUUGUGGGAGCGAAAUUUCUAAAUUCGAACGAUAUUCUUUUUUAAUUAAAAAAAUAAAAAUUCUUCUCAUAUCUUUUUUUUCAUCAAACUAAUAAAUUUAAUUUUUUUGAAAAAAGAAUGAACUAUUUAAUUGUAAAAAAAUUAAAAGAAAAAAAUCACACUAUCUCAAAUUAAAUAUUUCUUUCCAAUAUGCAACAAAAAAAUACUAUACUAAAAAUUUUAUAAAAAUUAUUAUAAUUCCAAAAAUUAAAUUAAAAAAACUUGACCUUAGUCCAUUUCUCAAUACUAGGCAUCCUAAAUUGCACCAUCCGCUUUUUCAUAAGAUCGAACUUAUCAAUGAUAGAAUCUGUUAAAAAUUCUCGAGCUAUCUCUUUUUUGAUGUAUGCCACCAAAUAGGUUGAAAGAAUAUUAUCCUCCAUUUUGUUGCGAAGCCUUGUCUUCACAAUUUUCAUGGCUGAAUAUGCUCGUUUGGUUGUUUCAAUAGACACAGGAAGAGGUUAGCACAAGACGGAUAAUUCUAUCAAGAAGAGGAUAAAUAUUUAACUUACUUGUCUUAGCUAGCACUUGACACAAUUCAGCAACUGUAGAAGCUUUCUGCAAUUCUGUGCUUUGAUGAGCAUCAAGUUGAAAAUGCUCCAAUUGGAUCUUCAUGUGUAGCUUUUCUUGUUUUGUAAAAUCGUCCAAAUAAAAAUCAUUCAUAAGCUUGUAGAUAUCUUCCACCCAAAAAGCUUUGUAAUUAUCGCUUGGAUCCAAAACAUAGCUAAGAACAAAUAACUUCAUUAUCUCAUCAUUAAAGUGAGAAUUCAUUUCUAUUAGCAAUGAACCGAUACUAGUAAUGAAUAUAUCAAACCGAUAGUGAUGCUUAAUUGUGAGGUUAUCUUUCUGGAUGCGAGACUAACCUUGACCAACUUUAUACAGAGCACUUAAAUUGGAGACUUCUAUCUCAUGAUCUUUACAAAAUAACUUCACUUUCUUAAACAAAGGAUCCCACCCAUGUUCUUUGAAUUUCUAGAGAAGCAUUUUAAUUGAUGACACUAGUUGAAUUGUGUUUAGUAUAUCCUGCAAUUUAUACUGCAAUACUAGACAUAGAUCAUCAAUGAUUCCAAGCACCUUAAUUAGGAAAUGCAAGAUGAAAACAAAAUCAAUGGAUGUUACUGCAUCAUAUAUUUCAUCACCUUCACUCCUUUGAGUAAGGUUUUUGGACUUGAUGAUAUCUUGUAAUACAAUACAAACAAAAUCGAACAUCCUCAUCAGGCUAUUGAGAGAAGCCAAAUGAGAUCCCUAUCAAGCAUCGCCUAGACGUUGGAGAGUACUGACUUGAUUUUUCACUUUGCCAGUUGCAAGGUCACCAUUGUCAAUCAACUUCGCGAUAUGGGAUGCCUCAAUGUCUCUUAAUUGAUCAUGUCGCUUGCUUGAAGAAGCAACCAAAUUGAUUAUACCGGUCAAGUAUGAAAAUAAUUGACAAAUAGGAAUAGCCUCUUCAGAUGUAGCUACUAGAGUUAAUUGGAGACGAUGAGCAAGGCAGUGAACAUAGUAUGCAACUUAGCACCUUUAAGUAAAGAACACUUGCAAGCCGUAAAAAACUUCACAGAUUGCCUUCUUUAAAGCUAACGAUAUGGUGUCCUUCACAUAAACCAAAUCAAAGAAUUGUUCAAGUAUAAAACCUUCUUUAUCAACAACUUGCAAUACAAUUUCCAUUUUGUUCUUUCUCUUACUUAUCACGAGCUUCAUCCACUAUAAUGCAAACCUUUGAAUCUCCAAUCUCUUCUCAAAUGAAUCCUUGGAAUUUACUCGCCAAAAUAGAAAGAAUAACCUCCUGAAUAGUUGUACUGUCAUAUUGUGCAUUUUGAGAGGCAUUUUCUAAGACAAUUGCCCCCACAUCUUCAUUAUAAGAAGCUAGAAGUUUUAUUAGUUCAAGAAAGUUACUUCAAUUUAUUGAACUUUAUACUUCAUCGCGUCUCUUAAAGGCACAACCUUGAAAUACAAGUGUCACGUGCAAAAUGACAUGCGAUUUGUGCAAAUAUACACGUCGAAUCAAGUAAUAAAGUGAUGAGUGAGUAUCGUUCCCACGAGGAUCAAAUUGAGGCAUAAAAGUGGUCAAGUUAUUAUAAUAGAGUAUUGUUAAUUCUAUGGCAAAAAAAAGAAGGUAAGUAUGAAGUGGCAAUUAAAGGAAUAGUGAUGUAUGCAAUAUGUGUAAUUAAUAAAUACUUGAAAAUGGUAUGGCAAAAUAAGAGUAGAAAUGUAAUGGCAAUUAUGAGAAUUACUACGGGAAUAUUAUGUAAAUGAAUAAAUAAAGAACUAAUAAUGAUGUGGCAAAGAUACUAUGGAAAAGAAUAAAUGAUAUACGAUGUUGAUUUGGAAGGUUAGGAUUACUAAGAAUCUACCCUUACUGCCAAUAAUGCCUCAGGAAAAUCAUACUCAUUUUACUGCUUAGAAGAGUUAUAAAAUGAUCUGCAUCUUUCGAAAGCAAAAACCUCAAGUUACCUUGCCCAUGUCUAUAGGCCUUAAUAUGGUACCCUGCAUUGUUUUCCUUCUAUAUGAACGCUGCUUUAAGUCUAAAGUCUACUUCAAGUAUCGGUCGAGUACUUGCUCAUAUCAUUCAAUAUCGAUCUAACUAACCAACCUUUUCAGAAUUAGGCUUAGUUUCUAGACAUGCUGAAUAGACAUCUAUGUCUAGGGAUUGCAUGCAUACAACUUAGAAAUAAAACAAUUGAAUGAAAUAGUAAAUUGAUUCAGAUUUAUCCUUCAACCAUUAAAGAAAAUAAAAGUUUCAUCCUGUAAUCCCCACCCAAAGAGAUUUAGCUCGUGGGUUGGCAUAUAAAAUUCAAAACCAAAGUAACAUCCAACAUCAUUUUCAUCAUUCAAUUCACACUCUAGCAGAACGGUUUCCUGCGAUGGCUGAGAGAGACUGCUUUCAUCUUUUUCUUUCUGUCUCUACUCAGCCACUACCCCCUAUUUUUGCCUAAGGAUCUCUUUCUUUUUGUUCAUCAUUCAGGGUUUCCUUCUUUGGCUUUUUAUAGCUUUUUUCCUAGGGUAAAUCUAGCAACCCAUGUUUAUCUUCUCCUUUUUUAAAAUUAUUUUUUCAACAACCUAAGAUUAUCUUCUCCUCUUUGUAAAUUCUUUUUUUUCUAGGAUAAAAACAAACAUCCCAAUAUUAUCUUCUCCUCUUUUUUAGGCAGAUUUUUCUGGUACAAGACAGUUGGGCUGAAACUAGUAUGCGUUGAGUGUUGAUUUAGUCUUCCAGGAAUUGCUAUGACAUUCAUGCUGACAAAAUCUCCAACCUUUUUCCCCGACAAAUGUUCACUCAUUUAUUUCUCGUUCCUCAACCUACACCUGUCAAACCACCAAAAACAAUCCUACCACAAGCAAUUAAAAGUACCUAAUAUUUAAACAUAGUCCAAGCUCCUAAUGAAAUGAUGAAAAUAUGAAUGAAAUGUCCUAAAAUGAAACUAAAUGUACCUAAGUACAAGCAAUUAGCUAGGUUUAAAGGAAUGAAAUAUAAUUAUUUUCAAGAGUUAUCACACCCUCAAACUUGAGUUAUUGCUUGUCCUUAAGCAAAAUAUGUAUGAAUGCGUGAACGUAAGAAUUGUUAUAGCAAUAUAAUCACCUUUGUAUUGUUAAGCCAUUAAGAGAGCAUUUUGUACUUAAGUUUUCAGCACUCUUCUAUGUCUAAAAAUUUGAUCAAGUUUCAUAAGCUUAUUGAGCAAAGGCAGUGUACAAAAUAUUGUCCUAAAAGAAAGAAAAAUCCUAAGUACUCAUACAACUUUCACUAUAGCAAGUAUCUCCUAAUUUACUUAGUUCAUCUUUUAAUUUUCUUUAUUUUUUUUCAUCUGGCCUUAUACAUACUCAAAUACAUACAUAUCCAUUUAUAAUGCUUUUUUUUACUAGGGGAUUCAGCUCGUCAUAUGAUUUUUUGACUCGACAAUCACAAUGGAGCAUACACUAAAUUGUUGAAUACUCAAUCAUGUCACGAUUUGAAUACUCACUUAUAAAGCUAAGGUUUUUGAUCAAUAAGAUGGAUGGAGCAAACAACUACCCUUUCAGUUACUUAGCCUAUUACUAUAGUGAAGUGACCCUAAUUUUUUUUCUUUAUUACACACUCUUACUUGGACUUGCCUUUCUAGUCAACAACAUGAUGGAGCAAACAAAGUGGUGCUGACUUACUUGGGAAUUCUAAGCAUUGGAGUAUUUGAUGGCAUUUUGUAGAUUUUUUUCCUUGAAAUUUCUUAAACAUUGCCACUUUAUUCGUUAUUGAGUAUUGCCAUUGUACUGAAUUUAGCCUCAAGAAUCUCUAAGUUUAUUAAAAGAAACUUACUAUAGAUCAAUUGUAAUUGGAAUUAGGACAUCCUAAUUUUAAGGGUCAAUUUGCAAGCAAACUAUCCUAAGCAAACGUCAACUAAUCCAUUGUCACAACUUUCUAAGUUUAUAGAAGAAUUAAGUUUCUCAUUAUCACAGUCUAAAAAAUUCCUUGGCAAUAUCGUGUGCCAUGGCAAAAUGAAUUGCAAAUGAACAAAAAUACUAAAACACAAAUGCUCAACGAAAUAUCUAAUGGAGUCUAGAUGCAUAAUACAUUACCUUCAAACGUAAGAGUUGCAUUAUCUUCAAUGUAUGUACAAAUAUGAAUCAUGAAUGCAAGGACAUAUAUAUGUACAUAAUGAGAUGUAUUAAAGGUAGAAAAACUUCCCGAGCUUGGAACUUAAUGGUAGUACUUUAAUUGCGAUGAGUGGUCUUUCGUGGACUUAUCUUAUAACGCAUCAGCCUUUUAAGUAAAUUGAGUGGUACGUCCUCCUUUUCAUUAUCAAAUUUGGUGUGUUCAUCAAUAAUCUGAUCGAUCUCAUAAUCAUGUUCAAUCAUUGGUUCAAUAGAAGGAGAUGGAACAACCAUAAUGCUGUCCACUGGUGGUGCAACUGAUGGAUUUGCUUUCUCUUCGUCCUCACGGUCAGUCUCAAUAUUGAUAGACUCUAUUUUCUUUGAUUCUUCCUCCGGUCCCUUAGGCACAUUCUUUUCAUUGACAAGAUUCGUCUCAAUAGGCUUUGCACUACCAAUCCCAUCUUCUUAUGCAGUUUAUUAAACAAAGGAAAUGAAAUAACUAAAAGAAAUUUAAAUAAAAAAAUGAAACAAAAAUAAAAAGAAUUUUCAAGAUGUUAAAGUUAAACAUCUCAAAGAUCAAUGGAUUGUUUGUCUCACUCUACAUGAGCACCCUAGUAGUGCUUCAAGCCUUGCCUAUGAACUUUAAAUGUGUCCCAUAUUUUCAUGUCCUUGACAUCAACAACUCCAUGCUGAUAUACAUGAGCUACCAAGCAUUGUUCAUUAAAAUUGAAAGGUCUAUUUUACUCCAACAAAGUGCACAAGGGUCUCUAGUCAAAUGAAUCUUCAUCACUAUCAGAAUUGCUGUUGCAAAAUCUUGUGAAAUCUUCCUCCACUACUGUUUCUAUCAAGUUAAUGGCUCAGCAUUCUUCAUUUUCAUCUACAUAUUUUAAAACAUCGAAUACAUUAAAAGUAACUUACUGAUCAUUUACUCCCAUAGUUAGUUAGCCUUUCUAUACAUCAAUUAAAGUUCUUCCUAUAGCAAGAAAAGGUCUUCUAAGAGUAAUCAAUACAUCUUUCUUAGCUUCACAUUCUGAAAUAAUGAAAUCGACUGGAAAAAUAAACUUAUCUACUCUUACCAGCACGUAUUCAAUUUUAACUUCCAGAUGUGCGUAAGAUAGAUCAGCUAGUUGCAGCGUGACUGUUGUGGGUCUUACCUUCCCAAUUCCUAGCUUAUUGAAAAUAGGCAGAGGUAUUAGAUUUAUACUCGCUCUUAAAUCACAUAAUGCCUUACCAACAUAAUGUUUUCCAAUGAAACACGAGAUAGUGAAACUCCUUGGGUCCUUCAACUUUAGAGGUAGUUUGUUCAUUAACAUUGCUGUGCACCCUUCAGUGAGAGCAGCAAUAUCAAAUUCUCACAAUCUGUGCUUCUUUAAUAGUAUAUCCUUCAUAAAUUUCAUAUAAUUGGGCAUUUGCUCCAAAGCUUCAACCAGUGGUAUGUUGAUAUGGAGUUGCUUCAAUACCUCCAAAAAUCUUUUAAACUAAAUAUCCUACUUGGAAUUGUAAAAUCGCUAGGGAAAAGGUAGAGGUGAUCAUCCUUCAGGUUGUUGAUAUUGUUUUUCUAUGACAUUUAUGUUGACAACCUGAUCUGAUUUUCCCACAACAUUUUGCUGCUUACCCUUUUUAAGUUUAGUUUGUUUGGUUGUUAUUCGAGUUACCCUCUCUUUCCAUGGCACCAUGAACAACGUCACUCAAUUGAUUCCCACUUCUAAGAAUAAUGGUCUUGCAGUGCUCCUUACCUUGUGUUCUCGAAUUCUCGGUACCACUUGGUAAUGCUCUUUGCGGUCUUGAAUUCAAAACAUUUUCUAUCUGUACCAUUUGAUUCUUAAGAGGUCGAAGAGAACCAACUUGACUUUGGAUUACAGCAUCAUUCUUGGCCAUAUAUUCCUUUAACAAAGCUUCAACAAAAGUAGAAGAUGAUGCUUGACCAUAUUGAACAUUUUUCCAUGGAUAGGUUGAAUGUAACAAAGUAGUGCAUUGUUGGAAUUCUAUCUUACGGCAUUGCUAAAAUUCCCUACUCUUUGAUUACUCCAACUAAAAUUUAGAUACCACUUCCACCUUAGAUUGUAGGUGUUAGAAUAGGGGUUAUUAUUCCAGUUAAAAUUAUCGGUGUAAUAUACUGACUCAGGGUUUGAUGGGCAUUCGUCAAACACAUGAUUUUCACUGCAAUAAACACAUAAUAGCUCGAUUGCUUUCAUCUCUUGAACUACAGUUGGUAUCUUUAUUGUCUUGAUCAUAUUAGUUAAAGAUGAUACCUAGGCUGUCAAUGAAGUGAUUACAUUAAGUUCCUUGGUACCAGCAACUUUCUUGCCUGUCCCAACUCUUGUGGUUGGAUAUUGAUAAUCAUUAUUGGCAAUAUUUUCCAAAAUCUCAUAUGCUUCAUUAUAAGAUUUAUCCAACAAAUUUAUCCAAAAUCUCAUGUGCAUUCAACCCAUUAUAGAAUAUUUCCAUCUGAGUCUAGUGCUAGAAUCCAUGCAUCAGACAUUUUUGAAUUAAUUCUUUAAAUUGUUCUCAAGAUUCAUAUAAUGUUUCAUCCGUUAAUUGCCAAAAAGAUGUGAUGUCAUUCUUAAGCUUGGCAUUCAUGUUUGGUGGAUUAUACUGUAGAAAAAGUCAUGAAUGCAAUCUUGGAUCUUCAGUGGGCAGUCCAUUAAACUAUCCUACUGUUUGUAACAUUUGAAACAUUACUUGUUUCAACUCAAAUUGUUGAGCUUGUAUUUAAGGCCUGACUAUCCUUAGAUUCAAAUAAUCCAAAAUUGGAACAACAAGCUCUAGCCAUUUAGAUUAUUAUUGAGACUAAGACCAUUUGUAUUAUCGUUGAGACUGGGAUCAUUCCUAUUUCUAGCCAUUUUUCUCAAUUCUUUUCAUCAAUAAUCCAAAUGGUCUUAAUAAGGGAUUAGUUCCUGUUUCAACGAUAAUUCACAUGGUUUUAGUCUUAAUAAUAAUCCAAAUGGUUUAGAUGUACGAUGGAAAAGAAUAAAGGACAUGCGAUGUUGAUUUGGAAGGACAGGAUUACUAAGAAUCUACCCUUACUACCAAUAAUGCCUCAGUGAAAUCAUACUCAGUUUACUGCUCAGAAGAGUUUUAAAAUGAUCUACUUCCUUUGAGAGCAAAAACCUUGAGUUACCUUACCCGUAUUUAUAGGCCUUAAUAUGGUACCCUAUAUUUUUUUCCUUCUAUAUGAAUGCCGCUCUACGUCUAGAGUAUACUACAAGAAUCGGUCGAGUACUUGCUCAUGUCAUUCAAUAUCGAUCAAACUAAUCCAACCUUUUCAGAAUUAGACUUAGUUGAUGGACAUGCUGAACAGGCAUCUGUGUUUAAGGAUUGCAUGCAUACAACUUAGAAAUAAAACAAUUGAAUGAAAUAGUAAAUUGAUUCAGAUUUAUCCUUCAACCAUUAAAGAAAAUAAAAGUUUCAUUCUAUAAUCCCCACCCAAAGAGAUUUAGCUUGUGGGUUGGCAUAUAAAAUUCAAAACCAAAGUAACAUCCAACAUCAUUUUCAUCAUUCAAUUCAUGGAAGAACAAAGUAAGAAAUAUGGAAGACUUCGGGAAGAUAGCUUUCACGUGUCUAGUUCACACUUUAACAGAACGGUGUCCUACGAUGGUUGAGAGGGACUGCUUUCGUCUUCCUCUUUUUGUCUCUACUCAGUCGCUGCCCUCUAUUUUUGCCUAGGUAUCACUUCCAGUUUGUUCGUUGUUUAUGGUUUCCUUCUUUGACUUUUUAUAGUUUUUUCCUAGGGUAAAUCCAACAACUUGUAAUAGCCCGAUUUUGGAUUAAAUCAGAAUAGUGGUUUUGAAACCACAAAUUCGAAGUAGAAAUGUUAAUUUUAUUAUUACUUUAAGGUCUACAAUAUGAUUGAAUACUUGUGUGAAACUUUUGUUAAGAAAUUUUAUCGAUAGAGUGUCCAAUUUGACCAAUAGGACUAAAUUGCAAUAGGUGUAAAAUAUGUGUUCUAGAAGCUAGAGGUGUCUAACUGCUAUGAAAUUUUAAAUUGAAGGUCUUUAAAUGGUAAUUAGACCAUUAUACUUUAAUUUGGGAAAAAAUGGACAUGGUUAGGUGAAAUUUCAAAGUUUUAAGUGAAGGGCAUUUUGGUUAUUUGGUAAAUAAAGACAAAAAUAACUAAUAAAAAGAUGUCAUCUUUUCUAAUUUGAUUCCCCAUGGUCGAAAUUCACAAGGAGAAGACAUAGCUAGGAUUUGGCCAACUUUCAAGCUUAAUUGCAAGUCCAUCUUUAUCCCAUUUUUAAUGAUUUUUACGUUUUUGUGAAUGUUGUAACUUGAUUUAGCUAUUUCAAGGACUAAUUUGAAAGAAAAUUAAAGUCUAAAAUUUUACCCAUGUUGAAUAUUUGUGUAUUUUGAUGUUUAAUGGUAGAAAAUGUAUGUUCAAUGUUAGGUAAACAACAUUUACCAAGUGAUUUCUUGAUGAAAAUGUCAAAUAGGGAAAUAUUUGUAAAAGUUGUAAAAUGUGUGUUAAAAUGUGAAUAAAUGAAAAAUAUGGGCUGUUAUGAGCAUGAAAAAGAUUCGGCUAGGCUUGGGUAAUGAAGAAAUUGGAUGAAAAUCAUUUUACGAGCCUAGGGACUAAAAUGUAAAAAGUUAGAAAGUUAGGGGAAAAAAUUUAAUUUUUGCCAUAAGGAUUUUUUGGGAUUAAAUUGAAUAAUGUGAUAUUUAAUAAGUUAAAUUUGAUAUUAUAGAUCAAGAAAGACUAGGUUUUGACCUAGACUGGGGAAAGAACAAAGUUGUGGACUAAAUUGAACUAUUAGCCAUUUUGUACUGAGGUAAGUUCGUAUGUUAAAAACAAGCUUUAAUAUGAUUGUAUUUUAUUGCUUUAAUAUUGCAUGAAUUGUAUGUUUGAUAAAUGUGGAUGAGCUUAAUCUUACGAACGAGUCCAAAAAUGAAUCAACAAGCGAGAAAUACCGUUGAACCUUAGGAAUAGGGUAGGAUACAAGUGACAUGUCACUAGGUUAAUUAUGUGUUAUGUGAUUAUGUGAUCCGGGUGUUGGUCUUGUAUGUCUUACCAUUGGAUGAGUAUACCGGCAUAUGUUUUGGAUACUUGACAGCUUGUGUGAGCAGCACCGCAGAGCUAUGUCUUGACUGACAGCUUGUGUGAGCCCGUUGAUAGCUCGAGAGCGAGCAACUAUGUGAUUUAAGAUUUGAGGUAGCAUUGGCUACAUAUGUGGCACUUAGUGUGCAAGAAUCCCGAGUAUCUGACAUUAUUAUUCCGAGUGGUUCACGGGUUUGUCAAAGAUGAUAUUAUGUGUAAAUUCCUUUCGAGAUGGUACAGGAAUGUUCUUGAAGCUCAUAUAUAAUAAAUUCUUGAAAUGAUGAAUAUGAGGUAAGUUUUGUGAUGGAAUGAGCUAUGAUUAUGAGACCAUGGUAAAUGUACAUUUAAUUAUGUUAUAUUAUUUGAAUGUUACACGUAAUGUAGGUUGCUUAUUUCUUGCAUACAAGUUUAGUAAGCUAUAUAGCUUACGCCGUUUAUUUUCCAUGUUUUUAUAGUGUCGCCAAGCUAACUCGGAUCGGAGAUCGUCGGAGAUUCGCCUCACACUAUCAAAACUGUUAUUUUGGGUAUUUGAUGAUCUUAUUAUUUUGAAAGUAUGACAUGUAUAGGGACUUGAUCAUUUUGUUAUAUGUGUCAUUUGAUUUGGCCAAAUGUAUUGGCUUAUAUUUGUUUAAGUUGAUUUGGUACUUAGCCAUGUAAUUGGAUUAUUUUGGCUAAAAUGGUUGUAAGCCCAUUUAUAUAUGUAUAUGUGCCAAUGGCUUUGGUGUUAUGGUCAUGGUAUGCUUGGUGUAUGUUGGAGUUUGAUUUUUAGCAUGAAUGUGAGAUGUUUGGAAAUGUGCUUUAUUGGUGAGAUGAUAAUUUUAUGCACAAAUAGGUGUCAUGAAAGUAGUUUAAUGAUACUUUGUAUAUAUGAAAUUAGCAUGAUUAAUUUGGGACAUGAUAACUGUUGUGAGUAUGAUAGUGGAUGGUAUUGUAUUGAUAUGAUUUAGCCAUGAUUGUGGAUGUUUGGUUGCCUAAGUAUGACAUGUUUUGUGCCUUUGAUUUGGUGUAAGUGUAUGUGUGAAUAAGGGUGGCAAAUGGCUUGGUAAAUAACCUUUAUUUUGUCCACAUGGGUAGACACACGGGUGUGUGUGUAGGUCGUGUGUGACACACGGUCUGACCCAUGGGCAUGUGUAUAGGUCAUGUGUCCCCUGCACCUUAAUUUUUAGAAACAAAAUGCUCAGAAUUGAGCACACGGGCGUGUGUCUCAGCCGUGUGGAUGGCACGGCCUCGAACACGGGCGUGUACCCUGGCCGUGUGAAGUCUGCACCUAUUUUAUGAAAAUUAAUUUUCCACACGGCCUAGCACACGGACGUGUGACUUGGCCGUGUGAUCUCAAUUUUUUCAUGGGUUACUAGUCAGAGAGUUACAGGGGGUCAGGACACGGGCGUGUGUGACCACACUGCCUGCCCACACGGUCGUGUCCCAUAUCCACACAGGCGUGUGACCUCUGUUUAGUGGAAAAAUUUUUAAAGUUUCGUGAAAAUUUCUAAAGUUCUUGGUUUAGUCUUGAACCACUUCCAAAGCAUGUUUUGGGCCUCGUAGGCUUGUGUUAGGGACUUUAUGGUUAAAUGUAAAUGGUUUUAAUUUGGACGCAAAUUUAUGACUCGGAAUUGUAUGAUUGUUUGUGAUGUGAGUCCGGUAAUGCCUCGCUCCCUAUUCCGGCGUCGAAUAUGGGUAAGGGGUGUUACACAACCCAUGUUUAUCUUCUCCUAUUUUAAAAUUACUUUUUCAACAACCCAAUAUUAUCUUCUCCUCUUUUUUAGGCAAAUUUUUUUGCUACAAGUACAGUUGGACUGAAACUAAUAUGCAUUGAGUGUUGACUUGAUCUCCCAAGAAUUGCCACAACAUUCAUGCUGACAAAAUGUCCAACCUUUUGCCCUGAUAAACGUUUAUUCAUUUAUUUCUCGUUCCUUAACUUGUACCUGCCAAACCACCAAACACAGCCUUGCCACAAGAAAUUAAAAGUACCUAAUAUUUAAACACAGUCCAAACUCCUAAUGAAAUAAUGAAAAUACGAAUGAAAUGUCCUAAAAUGCAACCAAAUGUACCUAAGUACAAGCAAUUGGCUAGGUCUAAAGGCAUGAAAUAUAACUUUUUUCAAGAGUUAUCAACAAGCCACUUGACAACAUCUAUUGACACCUUGAGCUAUAGCAUAUUUCUUUCAACUUGUUCAGAAUUUAGUUUCUUGAUAAUCCUCUCAAUAUUUUGCAAGGAAUUCUGAAGCUCGAUAUAAAUUUUCAUUGCAUACAUAUGUAAAGAAUUUUCAUCUUUACCCAUAUGUGUAAUAGCCCGAUUUUGGGCCUAGUCAGAAUAGUGGUCUCAGGACCACAAAUUUGAAGUCAGAGAAAUUAUUUUAUUAUUAAUUUGAUAUUAUAGCAUGUUUUUAAGAGUGCAUGAAAAAUUUGGUGAAGUAAUUUUAGCGUUUGUAAGCUUAAUUGAGAAAAAAGACUAAAUCGCAUAAAAUGCAAAAGUCCUAAAUUGAUAGCUAAAGAUGUCAAAUAGCUAGAGAACCUAAAAUUGGAGUCUUUAAAGGGCAAUUAGACCCUUUAGGGAGGCAUGGCAGCCAUAGGAGACAAAGGUGGUCAAAUUUUCAAAGUUUGGUAAGUUAGGUGGCUUAUUUUGACUAAACUAAGAGUAAAUAGAGGAAAGAUGAUAUCAUGCCUUUUUCAUCUUCUUUCUUCACCGAAAAUCAGCCAUUGAAGGGAGUUUGAAAGCUUAAAAAUUUCAGCAACUUGUAAUCCUCACAAGUAAGUGAUUUUGAUAGUUUUUCUUGAUGAUUUUUACAUUUUUGAGACCCUUGAAGCAUGAGCUUUCAAAUAAGGGUACUAUUUUUCAAAAUGAUCAAGAGUAUAGGAUUUUUCCAUGAAAGGAUUUGUAAAUUUUUCUGAGUUUUUAUGGAGGAAAAUGAGUCUUGGGUGUCUUAUAAACAACUUUUGUGAAAUGUGUUAGCAUGAAAACACCUAAAAGGACUAUUUUGCAUAAAUUGUAAAAUAGAUGAUAAGUGUGUGAAAUAGUGGGAAUUUGGAGUUGCUAUAAGAGUAGAAAGGAUUUGACUAGGCUUAAGAUAUGAAGAAAUUUGAUAAAAAUCGAGUUUCGGGCUUAGGGGUAAAAUGGUCAUUUUGUAAAAGUCUACGGGGAAAUUGGUCAUUUUGCCCAACUAUGAAUUGUUGAGUGCCUAUGUUGAUAAAGUAAUUAAAUAAGUGCAUUUUGUUAUUAUAGAUCAAGAAAUACCCAAUCCAAACCUAGACCAGGGGGAAAGCCAAGCAAAUCGACUAAAUCGACUAGUCGCCACAUUUUGUAAACUGAGGUAAGUUGUAUGUAAACAGUACAACUACAUAAAUAAUAUAUGUAUUUGAAUUGUAUUGAAAUUAUUAUAGCAUAAAUUGUUUGAUUGGGGAAAUGAGAAAAUGUGAUGAGAAUAGAGAUAGUAGAAUUCCCGAUUGAACCUUAGGAAAUAAAUCAGAUAUUCAUGCCAUGGCGAUUGGGUCACUUGUGUGAGCUAGAGUAAGACAUGUCUGGGACAUGCAUCAGCCACAUUGCGAGAGCCAGUGUAAGACCAUGUCUGGGACAAGGCAUCGGCAUUGGAAUUGAGACAAGUGUUAGCAUAAGAUAUGUCUAGGACAUGCUUCAACCUCGAGACGUAAGCUAGUGUAGGACAUGUCUGGGACAAGCAUCGGCUACGAGAUCUAUCAGUGUAAGACCAUGUCUGGGACAUGGCAACGACACAGAUAUGCUAGAACUUGUGUAAGACCAUGUUUGGGACAUGGCAUCGGCACCUGACCCCAUGUUUGAGACUAAAUGAAUAUCCGAUAAUGUUCCAAAUGGUUCAACGGUGAAAGUAUGAUUUCAAAUUAACAAGGAAAGUAUAACCGUGUUGUGAGUGGUACAGGUACCCAUAUGGUUUGUAUGAAAUAUGAGCUCGAUAUAUGCUAUAUGAGGUGUAUUGAAUAUUGAUGAGUAAGUUUUGCUUAUGCCACUUGUGUAUUAUGAUACUUGUUGAUGACUGGUAAAGUUAUGUUGUAUAUUUAUUUCUGUGCAACUUACUAAGCUUUAUGCUUACUCCCUCUCCUUUUUCAUUUUCUUAUAGUGCCACUUAUCUAGCUCAAGGAUCAACGAAAGUCAAAGAUAUCAAUCACACUAUCAAUCGAAGCAUUCGGUAUAGUUUGAUUUUUAUUUUUGAAUAUGGCAUGUAUAGGGCUUAGACUUUACUAGUUUUAUGUCAUUGAGAACUUGCGAAAUGUGUUGGCUUGGGUUGGAAACCCUUCAUUUUGUAUUAAGCCUUGAAUGGUGGUAAAUAUUCAUUUUGAUUUAUAUGCAAAGAUGUUAUUUUCAUAGAUGAGUAAAAUGCACAAAUGGAAUGUUGUCUAUUAUGGAUGAUUUGGUUGCAUGAGAUAGUGUUAUCUUAAUUGUGGUUGCUAUUAUGUAGGUCGUGUAAGUAAGGGUGGAAAAUAGGCUUGGUAAAUAGCCUUAUAUUGUCCACACGAAUAGGCACACGGAUUUGUGUCUUGGUCGUGUGUGACGCACGGUCUACCCUAUAAGCGUAUGGUCUGGCCGUGUGUCCCCUGCACAUAAAAAUUUCAAGUGAGUAUGCAUGAUAGUAAACACACGUGCAGAGAAACAAUCGUGUGAUGAACACGGCCUAGCACACGGGCGUGUGCCCGUGUGACAUUUUGGGUAUGCUGACGUCAGAAACAGAAUGUCCAGAUUUUUGGACACAAGCGUGUCAUGGCCGUGUGAAGGACACGGGCCAGGGACACAGGCGUGUGCCAAAUUGUGUGAAAACCCCUGUAGGUGUGCAUUUAGAAUUAAUUCUACACGGGUGGAGGACACGGGCGUGUCCCUAUAUUGCUUAGGCUGUGUGAGCCAUACGGGCCAUCAAUACGACCAUGUUGAAAUGGCCACACGGGUGUGUUACCCUUCAACACAAGCGUGUUCCCUAUUUCAAAGUUAAAUUUUCUAUAGAUGGUUUAAAGACAUGGUUGAUCUUGAAUAGUUUUCAAUGGUCGAUGUGGGGCUCGUAGACCCAUAAUAAGAAUUUUAGAGUAGAAAUUGAAAAAGUUCUAAUUUGGACCAAGUCUUGGUGACUUGGGGAACGUUUGUGUGCAUGCGAUCGAGUUAGGUAAUGCCUCGUAUUCCGCCCCGGCUUGGGUUACGGGUAUGGGGUGUUACAACAUGAGUAACAAAAGGACAUUUAGAUCUUUCAUUGAUCUUCUUCCAUGAUCAAAAUCAUUGGCUUGUAAAAGUAUUUCCAUGGCGACCAAAUGAUUUGUUGAAGAGAAAACAAGAAAGGUAAUAUGUGACAUUCUUACUUGGUGAAAACUCGAGCCAAUCUGGGAAUGACUUGUAGCAAGAUGGGAGAAAUCGACGUCCAUUCUUGUGAAUAUAUUGAGGUGAUGUUGGAGCAUCACUUAGAGGGAUCAGUUGAUAUGGCCUAGGCUUAAUGUAAGCUCGACGGAAUUCACCUUGUUGAUUUGGAGGAUAAUCCCAGAUUGAUUUUUGAAGUCCUAGAUCACACUCUAAAGAAGAAGCAUCAACUCAUUCCUUCACUAAUAUCUCAUUCAGGAGCUUGGAAAGACCCGAUAUCUCAUUCAGGAGCUUGGGAAGACUUGAUAUCUCAUUCAGGAUCUUGGGAUUGAGAAGACUUGAUAUCUCGUUAAAGAUCUUGGGAUUGAAAAAACCUGAUAUCUCGUUUAAGAGCUUGGGAAGAUAUGAUAUUUGAUGUUUCUCUACUAAUAUCAGAAGGUUUAGGAAUUGAUUGAUCAUUAUUGCUUUCUGACACUCUUUUCUUGAAAAAAUAUUCAAUCUUUUUAUUGACCAUAAUUUAAUCGAAAAACUUGAAGACUGUAUAAACAACAACAUAUUAGGAAAAGAACAAAAAUAAUAAGUCAAAUAAAUAAACAACAUAAUUUAUGCAAAAAUAUUUAUCGAGAAGUCUUUUGCGUAAGGAGUCGAGAGGAAGAUAAUUUGUGUUUUUUUCCUCUGUGCUCUUAGUCUUGGCAUCAAACUAGCCUAAUAUUUUCUUUUACUCUAGGCAGUGGCAGCACCUCAUCAGAGGAAGAUAAUUCCUUCCUAAGACAUACAAAUCAAAACACAAGAAAGUCAUUAACCUAAUAUGUAUAGGUAUGGGCCAGAUCAAUAACUUCUAGAAUUUGGCUUUAAAUUCCAUAUUGACCCUCUAAGUUGAGUCUUUUAAGGCCCAUCAUACAUUAAUAUUUGAUUAUUAUUAAAGUUAUAUAUUCAAAAAUUGAAAAAUGCUUUGUUAAUAUAAAAUAUAACCUUAUGGCUUAAGGAGGCAAAUUAUAUGAAAUACAAUUCGACCAAGGGGGCAAAUGUUAUACAAUAUGGACACCAAAUCUAAAAUACAUGAUAAUUUAUAUAUAAAAUUCGAAAAUUUGAAAAUUCCAAGGUGUCCCCUCCUGGAUCCGUGCCUGGUGGUUAAGGGAGUGGGCACUCCUUCAAGAAUUGCGUGAAAACAAAAAAAUAAACAAAGAACACAAAGAUUGUUUACGUAGUUUUGUUUCCCUACGUCCGUGGAGCCUAGAUUAGUGAUAAAUAUUCAUUAUCUUCAACACUUACAAGUGAUCCUAAUCUGUUACUCACUUAUGACAAUUUCAUCACUUAGCCAUCUUGAAGAUUGAUACGUUUCACCACUAAAUUCACUCCAGUGAACUCAACAAAUAAAACUGUUAGUCUGAGUAGGAAUUUGGAGAGUGGGCAGUCCCUGGAGUUCUUCGAUAAUAGCUUGAGCUUGGCUACUACACCUCAUUGGUGUUGCAAAUUUUGUUGCCUCUUAUAAUCCCCAACAUAUGUCAUUUUUUUGUGAGCUUAAAUAAAACUUGAAGGGAUGCGUAGAGUUUGGAAUACGAUAAACAACUUAAGUAGUAAGGAAACUAAAAUAUCUCUAAGAAACUUGUGAAUAGUCAAGGUAAACAAUCCAAAUUGAUAAGAUUAACUAUUUAAAUAAAUAAAAAUAAUUUUCACUUCUCAAUUAAUGCAUGUUUGCCAUGAUAUUUGGAAAGAGAAAAUCUUUCUAAUAUUUCCCUCCAAAAUUAUCAUUGGUGCCAAAAAGAAUAAAAAACCAUUCUUUCAAAAAAUUAAGCAGAUAAUUAGGAAUGAUAUUAUUAUGAAAAAUCAUAAAAAUGACAUCUAACAUUGUCAUGUGGAUGUCUCCCAUAACAGUCAAUUAAUUCAUGCUCGAUAGACACUAGCCGAGCUUCUCAAUCUCUCAAACUUGUUGACAUCCAAUACUUUAGUGAAUAAAUCUACGAAUUGACAUUGUGUAAAAAUAUACCUCAGCUCAAUUGACCUAUACUACACCAAUUCUUUGAUAAAGUGAUUCCUUAUAUCUAUGUGUUUGGUUCUAGAAUGCUCCACAAGGUUUUUAGAAAUGCUUAUGGCACUUGUGUUGUCACAAUAAGCUAUGGAAAUUGGAAAUGCAACUUAAAGUCCUCCAGCAUUUGCCUCAUCCAUAACAACUAAGCACAAAAAUUACCUCUUGCAAUAUAUUCUCCCUCUAUUAUUGACAAAGAUAUUGACCUUUGUUUUUUGUACUAUAAAACCAAGUUAUUUCCAAAGUAAAAACAUUCUUCAAAAGUGCUUUUUCGAUAAUCUAUGGUCCCAACCAAGUCAACAUUAAUGUAUCCUACUAAGCAUAUUGAACUAUCUUUAGUAAACCAAAUGCCAAGAUUAGGAGUACCGUAAAUGUACCUAAUGAUUUGUUUGACUGCAUUGACAUGAGAUUUGGACUGACUUGAUAUCUUGCACAAACACCAAAAAUAAAGUACAAACCAGGAAGGCUUGUAAUAAUAUACAGAAUAAUGCUUUUAUAAGUUGUUUGAGGAGUGAACACUCCUUCAACAUUUGCACAUAGUUUAUCAUUAACAUACAUAGAAGUUCUUUCUAGUUUAGAUUGGUUAAUAACAAAAUUGUUCGCAAGGUUUCUACCAUAUUCCUCUUAAGGUAAGAAAGUUCAAACUUCAUAUUUCUUGGUUCGAAAUCCAAGGAACUAAGAUAACUUACUUACCAUGCUCAUUUCAAACUCACGUUACAUCUUUUUCAUAAAUAAGUCAUUGGAAGUAAUUGAAGUAGCACCAAAUAUUAUGUCAACGACAUGUUUUUAUGCCAUGAUUGUUUUCCUUCUAUUCCUCCUAGUAAACAAUGUUUUGUCCAUAAAACCUCUUUGAAUUUCUUGCCAAGUGAAUAUCGAGACAACCUCUCAUACCAAGUUCGAUGAGCUUGUUUCAAGCCAUAUAGUGUUUUCCACAACUUGUAGACAUACUCUGGAUCAGCUGUAUCCUCAAACCCCUAAGGUUGAGCAACAAACACCUCAUUUUUAAGAAAUCCAUUCAAGAAAGCACUCUUAACAUCCAUUUGGAACAAAUUGAUGUUAAUAUGUACAACUAUAACAAGCAAUAAAUGAAUUACCUCAAGCUUGCAUAGUAGCAAUUAUUUCUUCAAAAUCGAUACACUCUACUUGGGUGUAAUGUUGAGCCAAAAAUCUAACCUUGUUUCUAGUGAUGUUACCCUACUAAUUUUUCUUGUUUUUGAAGAUCCAUUUGGUGCCAAUUAUGUUGCAAUCAGAUGGCCUAGGCACCAACUCCCAUACUUCAUUUCUCUAAACUAUUGCAACUUAUCUUGCAUGGCUUGGAUCCAAUCAACAUCAUUAAUGGCCUAUUCUACACAUUUUGGCUCAAUCUAAAAAGUGUAACAAGCCAAUCAAGGAAUGUAUCUAUAUUUAUGUUUUGGGCUACCCCUUAUUUCAAUUCCAUCAUGCUUAUCACUAAUUAUGUCAGCACUUGAGUGAUUCUUUCUAACUAUUGCUAAAUGUUGAAGUUACUCACCAUCAUUAGACUGAUCAUUGACCUAAUCAAUAACUUGAACAUCUUGACCUUCUACUUUUGAAUUUUCUUCAAGCAUAGCAAUAUUAAGGGGAGUGGACACUCCCUCAGGCACAACAUCAUGAGUCUUACCUUUAUCAUCAUUACUGUGAAUCUCAUGAACUCUAACAUCAUCAACCACCAUAUUGAUUGAAUUUAUGACCUUAUGAGUACAUUUAUUAAACACCCUAAAAGCUUUAAUGUUGUUGACAUAACCAAGAAAAAUAGCCUAAUCAGAUUUAGAAUCUAAUGUACUUUGGCAUUCUCUAUCUUGUCAGGAUCUCUUUUUCCAGUAGUGAGAAUUUCAUCAAGUUUGUUGCUACUAGUCUUGAACAUUUCAUACAUAAGGUUUGUCUCUACAAGUUCCUUUUUGAUCUUCACAAUAUUGUCUAGUUCCUCUACAAGAAGAGCCUAUUUAGUAGCUAUCUGUUUAACCAACACAUCAAAAUCUUCACCAUCAAUAGUACUUGCAAUGAAAACAAAGAAAUUUUGAUGAUCCUUUUUUGAAUCUAAUCCACUAGAUAAAUCAUCAUCACUUGAAGUUACACAAAAUGACUUCUUUUUCUUUUUUAGAGUGUUAGCACACUCAAAUUGGAUAUGACCAUAUCCUUGAAAUUCAUAGCAUUGUACACCCUACUUCAUGCCUUUUUAGGUUUCUUCUUAAAGACAAUUCCCUUUGAAUUGUUCCUAGGAACACUAGUAUUGGCUUCCAACAUUUUAAAUCUUCUUGAUGAUUUCUUGAAGGCCUUAUUGAAACUCUACGUGAGUAAUAUAAUCUGUUCCUGAAUAUCUUUAAUGGUAGGAUGCAGGAAGUUGGCGCUUCCUCAUUCACCUAAAGAGCAAUUAUUUUUCUCCAUUUCAUUUGCUUUGUUAUGUUUAGCCUCAUAAAAGUUCAUCUUGAAGGUCUAUAAGAAACCAAUGAGUUCAUCAAUAGCCAAAUUUUCAAUAUCCUUGACCUUUUCAUAGCUAUGAUCUUAAUAAAUCUCUCUAGAAGACACAUUAACACCUUUCAAACAAGCUUGGUAUUUGAAUAUUCCAUUCCUACAUCAAAAGCCUAGUUUGUUCGAUCACACAACUUUGCAUAAAACACUCCAAUAGUCUUUGAUUCUUGCAUUAUUAAGCUUUCAAACCUUGAAGUCAGCAUUUACAUCUUAGAUUGCAUGACAUUAGAUGUUCCUUUAUGAGCAGUUUCCAAGAUACCCCAAGCAGUCUUACCAAUAAUGCUUUUGGCAAUUUUUUUAAAUUCCUAUAGGUCAACUCCACAAAAGAUGACAUAUAAAGAUUUGGAGUUUGCAUUGGCCAAUUUUUCUUCCUAAGUGGUCCACUAAACCUCUAGCUUAACAACCAUUCCACUUUUAGUAUCCAUUUUGGGUAGCUCCUAUCUAGUUAGCACAGCUCGGUAUGCUGUCUCAUCAAUGGACUUCAUCAAUGGACUUAAUGUAUGCCUUUAUGCAUGCUUUCUAGUAUGCAUAAUUUCCAUCCUAUAGCAUAGUGGGUUUUGAAGUAGAUGAAUCUUCCAUAGCUUGAAACUAGUAACACUAAGGAUUUCCACUAGCUAUUUUAAGUGGUAAGCUUUGAUACCAAUUAAAGCUUUGUUAAGGUAUAAGCUAUGUGCUUGGAAGGAAUGGCUAAGGGAGUAAGUACUUCUUCAAGCAUUACGUGAAACAAAAAAAGACACAAAGAUUGUUUAUGUAGUCUGGUUUCCCUACAUUUGCAGAGCCUAGCUCAGUGAGAAAAUAUUCACUAUCUUCAACACGUACAACAAGUGGUCCUAAUCUAUCACCCACCCAUGAAAAUUUCCUUACUUUUGCACCUUGAAGAUUGAUACUCUCAUCACUAAAUUCACCUCAGUGAACUCAACAAGUAAAACCACAACACAAAAGGUUUUACUAUCAAAAUGCACUCACAAAUUAAAGUUCCUCAUUAGAAUAGAUUAAUUGCUCAAUCUUUCAAUACCAAAACUUAUACAAGUCUCUCAAUUAUAUAGAAUAUUUCAAUACUUGCUAAUAUAAGAAUAUUUAUAUCAAUCCUUAUUAAACAAUAAUGAAAUAAGCUAAAUACAAUUGAAUAAUACUAAACAAGGUAAACUUAUCCUAUUGAUAGCUAAGAAUGCAAUGUUCCAAUCCAAUCCAAUAUCCACAAUCCAGUGGAUUAGAUAGGGGUGAUUCGAUCCAAUCAAUCUUCUAAAUAUGUUUCCACAAGUAAUAUGAUCUUCCUUUAUGGGUUAGAUAUUAUCCACAUAAUCAUCACAACCCAUAAACACAUUUCAAUAAAUUGCCAACAACAAAUAUGGAAACUACCAUAAACUGUUGUAGUGAUCCAGGCAGUCGGCACUCCCUUAGACACUCAAUCAACCUUUCCAUAUUUUAAAACAAUAUUUGUGACAAGAAAAAUAAUUUACUUAAGUUGAUAAUGUCAUCAUUUUAAUAUGAAUUAGUAUUUUAUUACAUAUUAAAUUUUAGGAUAAACUACCUUAGUAGUCACUCAACUAUAUUUUUUUCUGUUUUGGCCAACCAAUUAUGAAAAGUUACAAAAUAGCCACUCAACUAUUUAACUUUGUCUUUUUUAAUUACCGAACUAUGUUUGAUUUUUGGGAGUUUCUAUUUUUACGUUAGCUAGCUGGUAACCAAAACGACAAUUUAAUAGUUGAGUGACAAAAAAAAAAUUAAGUGACCUCUAAUAUAAUUUACCCUAAAUUAAAUUUAUUUUAAUAUCUAAAAUAAAUCCUCCUCAUAACAUCGUUAAAAUGAUUCAAACUGAGGUAUAAAAUAAUCUCUAAAUUAAUCCAUGAAUUUACAGCCCUUUUUUGAGCACCACCUAAAUAUAUAUUUUGUCUUUUUUAUAGAAAUUUUAAUUUGUCUUCUUCUAAUUAACUAAUUAAAUUAAAUUUACCUUAAUUUUAACAAAAAUUAAGUCAUUACAGGAUUGAAUCCAAGUAAUCCAAAUGCAAAAAUAAAUUUCGAAUUCAAAACAACUUAAAAAUCACAUAACAGUCCGGGUCAAAUUCUACCUUAUAUAGCUUUUUUUCCCCUUAAAUGGAAUAAAAAUAAUUUAAUUUUAGGUAAGGGUUCACAUUAAAAAGUAAAUAAUUAUUUAUAUAAUUAAAAUUUUAACAAUCCAAUUAUUAUAUUUCAUGAUAUAUUCAUGACAAUUAAAACUUUUUCGAAUUCAAAACAUCUUAAAAGCUAUCCAACACAGCUGGCCCAAAUUCAACCUUGUAUAGCUUUCUUCCCCUAAAUGGGAUAAAAUUAAUUUUGUUUUAGGGGAGGAUUCAUUUACACAGUGUAAAAAUUAAAGUAGUUGUAUAUAUUUUCGUAACUAUUUAUAUAAUUAAUAUUUUGACAAUCCAAUCGCUAUAUUUCAUGGUCCAUUCAUGUAGAAGAUCAUGCAUGUAAAUUUGAUGUAAAUUGAAAACUUCUAACUAUUUGUUCUAUGUAAAAAAUUUCAACCGUUGAAUAUAUUUAUAUAUAUAUUAAUGUACAGAGUAUUUUAGAUUGAUAUAAUAAAUAUAUCAGAUCGAUUCAAAUUUUUACAUGUAUGACAAGUACAAUUAUAUUGAUAAAUUCAAUGAUUAGAUUGUUAAAAUAUUAAUAAUUUAAAUAGUUACGAAAAGUAUAUAAAACUAUUUUAUUUUACACUGUAUAAGCAAAUCCCUCUCUUAAUUUUAGUGUUUGAAUCAAUUAUAUAGUAAGAAUUUUAAUCCACAAAAAAAGUAUCAAGCAUGUUCCUUGUAACAGGCCUAUUUUGCCCAGCCCGGGCCCAAAUUAAACAACAAAAAAAAUCAAAUAAUAAAUAAUAUUAAAAUAGCACAAAUCACAACUCAAGUCUAAAACCUAACCCAAAACAUGGCCCAAAACAUAAAACUACAAAAAAAACCCUAGUGACCUAAGGUGCCGUGCCUCCAUGUGUGCCCUCGACGCGCACGGCGCUCGAGAUUCGACCCCGUUGCACUAAAACGGUCAUCUAUGGCCCCGUUGAUCCAUUGUGUGCCUGCAAAAAGAAGCAAAAAAAGGGAACAAAACAAGACAACAGAGCAAACAGGCGAAAACAGAGCAGAAACAAAGCAAUAAAACAACAAAGGCAUAGGCAAUAGCAAUAAUAUUAAAUCAAGUGUAUUUUUUGGCUAUAAAAGCCCGAAAAACAAUUUAUUUUGGUCACACAGAUCAGUAAAUCAAAACGCAGAAUAGAAAUUUGGAAAGGUUGUUGCUUUGAUAUUUUAACUUCUCUUAUUUUCUUGUUUCUUUUUGUUUUUCUAUUUUAUUUUUUUACAAAUUUAUUUUAAGUAUAAAAAAGAAAAAUAAAAAAAGAAAGAAAAGACUUACCUGAACUACUCUACGAUCUUGUCACCGGGAGCCCUUCCCCCAUGCCGAAAUCGGACCGAGAGGGGAUCAAUGGUCCUUUUCUUGUGUCAUUCUUGGGGAGAAGAGACUCAGCCUUCAAAGGGUUUCAAAAAGGAGUUAAAAAAACCCCAUUUUUACGUGACUCCGACCACCGCCCACGGUGGAGUCACGGUGGUCAGGCGAUGGCGCGAUGAUGGGUUAUAAAACCCUAGCAGUGAAAAUAGGGAGGGGUUUUUUUUAAUAUUUUUUUCAAAAAAGGAAGCAAAUGAAAAAAAAUAAAAAAAAAAGCUGGUUUAAAUAAAGGAACAAAACGGUG